GAUGAACGCUGGCGGCGUGCCUAAUACAUGCAAGUCGAGCGAACAGACGAUGAGCUUGCUCCUCUGACGUUAGCGGCGGACGGGUGAGUAACACGUGGAUAACCUACCUAUAAGACUGGGAUAACUUCGGGAAACCGGAGCUAAUACCGGAUAAUAUAUUGAACCGCAUGGUUCAAUAGUGAAAGACGGUUUUGCUGUCACUUAUAGCUGGAUCCGCGCCGCAUUAGCUAGUUGGUAAGGUAACGGCUUACCAAGGCGACGAUGCGUAGCCGACCUGAGAGGGUGAUCGGCCACACUGGAACUGAGACACGGUCCAGACUCCUACGGGAGGCAGCAGUAGGGAAUCUUCCGCAAUGGGCGAAAGCCUGACGGAGCAACGCCGCGUGAGUGAUGAAGGUCUUCGGAUCGUAAAACUCUGUUAUUAGGGAAGAACAAAUGUGUAAGUAACUAUGCACGUCUUGACGGUACCUAAUCAGAAAGCCACGGCUAACUACGUG
rnacentral:rRNA from 1 species